GAUGAACGCUGGCGGCGUGCCUAAUACAUGCAAGUCGAGCGAACAGACGAGGAGCUUGCUCCUCUGACGUUAGCGGCGGACGGGUGAGUAACACGUGGAUAACCUACCUAUAAGACUGGGAUAACUUCGGGAAACCGGAGCUAAUACCGGAUAAUAUAUUGAACCGCAUGGUUCAAUAGUGAAAGACGGGUUUGCUGUCACUGAUAGAUGGAUCCGCGCCGCAUUAGCUAGUUGGUAAGGUAACGGCUUACCAAGGCGACGAUGCGUAGCCGACCUGAGAGGGUGAACGGCCACACUGGAAGUGAGACACGGUCCAGACUCCUACGGGAGGCAGAAGUAGGGAAUCUUGCGAAAUGGGCGAAAGCCUGACGGAGCAACGCCGCGCGAGUGAUGAAGGUCUUCGGAUCGUAAAACUCUGUUAUUAGGGAAGACCAAAUGUGUAAGUAACUAUGCACGUCUUGACGGUACCUAAUCAGAAAGCCACGGCUAACUACGUG
rnacentral:rRNA from 1 species